AUGGUGGUAUAGAGUAGGUGACAAAACCACAGAGGAAGAAUAAAUCCCGAGGGUGAAUAUACGUCAAGUCAUCGUGGAUUGUCUUCCUUAUUCUGUACCACAGUGUUGUUAUUUUUGAGAGAAGAAUAAAUCCUGAGGGUGAAUAUACGUCAAGUCAUCGUGGAUUGUUUUCCUUAUUCUGUACCACAGGAUUUUCAAUGCAUACCCGUCUCCAGGUUGUGGAGGGGCAACAUACAGCUAGCAUACUCACCCAACUUUCACCCACUGAACAUGUUUGAGGCGGAGGAGAGGAGUGGACAAACAUUCCCCAGGCCACAAUCAACAACCUCCGUGGAGGAAUGUUUUCUUGUAUUUGAUUGUAGCCACCCCAAGCAUACCUGUGCAAUAGUCAUGCCAUCCAGGGAUUAUCUCGGCUCACUAACACAAAUUUGUGAACAAUAUUUGAGAUGAAUCAGCCUUUUGUGUGCAUAGAAAAAAAAUACUGAAA